UUCAGCAGGGGAAGAAGCGCAAGUGACGGUACCUGCAGAAGAAGCACCGGCUAACUACGUGCCAGCAGCCGCGGUAAUACGUAGGGUGCGAGCGUUGUCCGGAAUUAUUGGGCGUAAAGAGCUCGUAGGCGGCCUGUCGCGUCGGAUGUGAAAGCCCGGGGCUUAACCCCGGGUCUGCAUUCGAUACGGGCAGGCUAGAGUGUGGUAGGGGAGAUCGGAAUUCCUGGUGUAGCGGUGAAAUGCGCAGAUAUCAGGAGGAACACCGGUGGCGAAGGCGGAUCUCUGGGCCAUUACUGACGCUGAGGAGCGAAAGCGUGGGGAGCGAACAGGAUUAGAUACCCUGGUAGUCCACGCCGUAAACGUUGGGAACUAGGUGUUGGCGACAUUCCACGUCGUCGGUGCCGCAGCUAACGCAUUAAGUUCCCCGCCUGGGGAGUACGGCCGCAAGGCUAAAACUCAAAGGAAUUGACGGGGGCCCGCACAAGCAGCGGAGCAUGUGGCUUAAUUCGACGCAACGCGAAGAACCUUACCAAGGCUUGACAU
rnacentral:rRNA from 1 species